CUAGUAUGUUGAUUAAUUGAGAUGGUGAAUUGUGGAAAAGGUCAAGAUUAGACCUAGAUUGAAGAGUUUGAUAGUGAAUGAUUGAAUUGAGAAUGGUGAAAAUGCAGAGUUCAGAGUAUUCUGACUAUACUGCAUAUUUGAAACUGGAGUAUCAUAUUGAUUUGAGGAUGAUAUAAAUGCAUGGUUCAUAGUAUGUUGACCAUGUCAGAUAUUUGGAAGAUGUAUAUUGUUUUGAGUGAAGAUAUGAAGAGUAAGUGUAGAGUAUGAGUUGUGUGGGAUUAGAAGAAGAGAUUUGUAGAUAGAGGUUGAUAGAUGAGAAGUGAAUGAUAGGUAUUGAUUUGAGGAUGAUAUAAAUGCAUGGUUCAUAGUAUGUUGACCAUGUCCGAUAUUUGGAAGAUGUAUAUUGUUUUGAGUGAAGAUAUGAAGAGUAAGUGUAGAGUAUGAGUUGUAUUGGAUUAGAAGGAGAGAUCGGUUGAUAGGUGAGAAGUGAAUGAUAGAGAGUACGUGGAAUUGAGUCCAGUUAUUAGAGAUGAUGUCUACGAGUAAGUUAGAAUGUUAAUUCUCGACGACUACGCUUUAAGUUAAGCGGGACAAGGUGGGCCCAUAACCCACAGGGCGACGAUUCUGAAAAUCGAAGAUAUGCUACGUGUUGUGCUAUGGACUUCAAAGGCAACUGGGUGAAACAUGAGAACGUGAACUACUUGGGCCAGACUUAUUACGAACUAUAACGUCUACGAUGACAUCUUACGAGGCUAUUACGAAUCAACAUCGAUCGAUUAUCGAGAACGUUGAAAAGAAGACAUAUAUCGAACAAUGAUUUAUUGAAGCAGAGCGAAAAUCUGAGAAGACCUUGGCAAUACCUCUCUUCAACUAAGAUUCUUUUGUAUUGUUUUUCUCAUCAGUGAGAUAUUAUCAUGAUAUCUUUUCUACAAAAGUUUUGAUAAAUGAGAUCUUCAAUUUCUCAAAUUCUAAGAUGACAUUGAUAUUGAUGAUUGGUAUGAAUUGGAAAACAAAGAUGUGUGAUAAAGGAUUGUUGUGAAGAGACAGUGAUUUUCCUUGAUAUUGUUUGACAUUUCUUGACAUUCCUUGAUACCCUUU
rnacentral:lncRNA from 1 species